rnacentral:rRNA from 1 species
CGUGCAGGCGGCCUGGUAAGUCGGGCGUGAAAUCUCUCGGCUCAACCGGGAGGGGUCGUCCGAAACUACUAGGCUUGAGGGCAGUAGAGGGAGGUGGAAUUCCCGGUGUAGUGGUGAAAUGCGUAGAGAUCGGGAGGAACACCAGUGGCGAAGGCGGCCUCCUAGGCUGUCCCUGACGCUCAGACGCGAAAGCUAGGGGAGCGAACGGGAUUAGAAACCCCGGUAGUCCUAGCUGUAAACGAUGCAGACUAGGUGUUGGCAGCUUAAACUCUGCCAGUGCCGUAGCCAACGCGUGAAGUCUGCCGCCUGGGGACUACGGCCGCAAGGCUAAA